GUGAAGAACGUAGCGAAAUGCGAUACUUGGUGUGAAUUGCAGAAUCCCGCGAAUCAUCGAGUUUUUGAACGCAAGUUGCGCCCGAAGCCAUUCGGCCGAGGGCACGUCUGCCUGGGUGUCACGCAUCGUUGCCCCCCCAAACUCCGGUUCGGGCGGGGCGGAAGUUGGCCUCCCGUGUGUGCCUGCGCGCGCGGUUAGCCCAAAAGCGAGUCCUCGGCGACGAGCGCCACGACAAUCGGUGGUUUUUUUACCCUCGUUCCUCGUCGUGCGUGUCCCGUCGCCCGAACGCGCUCUUGUGACCCUCACGCGUCGCCUCGGCGGCGCUCCCAACGCGACCCCAGGUCAGGCGGGACUACCCGCUGAGUUUAAGCAUAUCAAUAAGCGGAGGA
rnacentral:misc_RNA from 1 species